rfam:Candidatus Nomurabacteria bacterium RIFCSPHIGHO2_01_FTLL_38_19 rifcsphigho2_01_scaffold_10963, whole genome shotgun sequence.
AGCCUAACCCUUAAAGAGAACCUUUAAAGUAUGGCAAAAAUUACCAUCCCUGACACUGAACCCCUCGUUCAGCAACUCAGGGAUGGGCAUAUCUGAAAAGAUGUGUGAACCGAAAGGUUCU